UUUGGUUAAUAUUUUAUUCUAGUUUGUAGUAAUAGCUUUGGGGUAAAUUUAUACAUGUAAUUUUUUGAAUUGUUAUUAUUAUAUCUAAAAGAUUUUUAAUAUGUUUAGCAGUGUUUAGUAUUGUGAAUAAUUUUAUUUUUAAAGAUACAGUUAACUCCAUUUUUGACUAGCGAAAAUUGUGCCAGCAGCUGCGGUUACACAAUUAGUUAAUAGUUAUUAUUUUAAGGGUAUAUUUAUAGGAUUAAGAAGAAAUGGUUAUAUAUUUUAUGGUUUUGAAGUGAAAUUUGAAUCUGUAUAUAAUGCUAGGUUCUAGAUUUUAUAUAUGAAAUUUAUUUUGUAGACUAGGAUUAGAUACCCUAUUAUUUUAAAUGUAAAUUGUUGCUCUUAGUAUUAAUAGUUAUGAUCUUUAAAUUAAAAGAAUUUGACGGUGAUUUAAUCUAUUCAGAGGAACCUGUCCUGUAAUCGAUAAUCCACGAUAAAUUUUACUUUAAUUAUUGUUUGUAUAUCUCUGUUUAUUGAGUGUUUUAUUAGAAUUUAUUCUCUUCAAUUUUUGUUAAAUCUUAUAUCAGGUCAAGGUGCAAUUAUAUUAAAGGAUGAGAUGGGUUACAUUUAUCUUGUAAUUUUGGAUUAGAGGUAUUAAUUAUUGUAUUAUUUCUAUGAAAUUGGAUUUGGAUGUAAUAAAUAUUAUGUAUUAUUUAUGAUAUUUGUUCUAGGUUGAGUACACAUCGCCCGUCGCUCUCAUUUUUAAGAUGAGAUAAGUCGUAACAAAGUAAGCCUAUCGGAAGAUGGGCUUGGAAUUAUA
rnacentral:ncRNA from 1 species